UACGGGGGGGGCAAGCGUUGUUCGGAAUUACUGGGCGUAAAGGGCUCGUAGGCGGCCAACUAAGUCGGAUGUGAAAUCCCCAGGCUUAACCUGGGAACUGCAUCCGAUACUGGAUGGCUUGAAUCCGGGAGAGGGAUGCGGAAUUCCAGGUGUAGCGGUGAAAUGCGUAGAUAUCUGGAGGAACACCGGUGGCGAAGGCGGCAUCCUGGACCGGCAUUGACGCUGAGGAGCGAAAGCCAGGGGAGCGAACGGG
rnacentral:rRNA from 1 species